rnacentral:rRNA from 1 species
UACGUAGGGUGCAAGCGUUAAUCGGAAUUACUGGGCGUAAAGCGUGCGCAGGCGGUUGUGUAAGACAGAUGUGAAAUCCCCGGGCUCAACCUGGGAAUGGCGAUGGAUACUGGCGCGCUAGAGUGCGGUAGAGGAGAGUGGAAUUCCCGGUGUAGCAGUGAAAUGCGUAGAGAUCGGGAGGAACAUCAGUUGCGAAGGCGGCUCUCUGGACCAACACUGACACUGAGGCACGAAAGCGUGGGGAGCAAACAGG